rnacentral:lncRNA from 1 species
CUCCUGUGGGCCAUAUCCUCCAGAACUGCAGGGUGAGGGGAAGAGGCCAAGCUCCCUCAGUGUCCUCUGAACAUCAUGCCAAUAGCAAGCCAAAACUCCUUCUGUAUAGAAUAAGACACCUUUGGUUAACUGAAGGUCCCAACUGGUAAGUAUGGUGCUCAGACUGUGAGAUCUAUGAUGAACUUUAAGAUUGGAGGUACAACAGAAUAUAUACCAAUCCCAGCCAUUAAAGCUUUUGGCAUAUUGACGGGAGCUGCUGCUGCUAUAAACCAAGGUUAUGGGCUUGAUUCAAAGGUUACUAGUGCAGUAAUGAAGGCAGCAGAUGAGGUAGCUGAAGGUAAACUAAAUGAUAAUUUUCUUCUGUUUGUGUGGCAUACUGGAUCAGGAAUCCAGACAAUCAUGAAUGUAAAAGAAGUCAUUAGCAACAAACAAUUGAAAUGUUAGGAGGGGAACUUGGCAACAAGAAGUCUGUGCACUCUAAUGAUCAUGUUAAUAAAAGCCAGAGCUCCAAUGACUCCUUCCCCAUAGCAAUGCACAUUGUCACUGAGGUGUAAGUUCACAAGGUCCUAUUGCCAGGACUAUAUAAGCUGCAUGAUGCUCCCAGUGCAAAAUCCAAAGAAUUUGUGCAGGUCAUCAGAAUCAGGUGAAUUGACACCAGGAGGCUGUUUCACUCUUAGGCAGGAAUUCAGUGGUUAUGUUCAACAAGUCCAGUAUGUGAUGGAGAGAAUAAAAGCCAAUAUGCUAAAGAGCUAUGAGUUCAAUGCUGGAGGCACUGCUGUUAGGACAGGAUUAAACACCAGGAUCUGUUUCACAGAAAAGGUGGCUGCAAAAUUAGUGACACUCACAGGUUUGCCUUUUGUCACAGCCCAGAAUAAGUUUGAAGCUCUGGUGGCUCAUGAUGCUCUGGUGGAGUUUAAUGAGCCAUGAACACUACUGCCUACAGUCUGAUGAAGAUAGCAAAUGAUAUUCACUUCCUUGGUUCAGGUUUCAGAGAGCUUAUCUUGACUGAAAAUGAGUCAGGGAGCAGCAGCAUUCCAGGAAAAGUGAACCUUACUCAGUGUGAAGCGAUGACUAUGGUUACAGCCCAAGUCAUGGGGAAUCAUGUUACGGUUACUGUUGGAGGCAGAAAUGGACAUUUUGAACUGAAUGUUUUUAAACCAAGGAUUAAGACUGUGUUGCACUUGACUAGGCUGCUGGGGGAUGGAUGCUUCAGGGUUGUUCACAGAGAACUCUGUGGUGGGUAUCCAAGCCAACACAGAGAGGAUCAACAACACAGAGAGUCUUGGAUGUCAGUCACAGUUCUUAAUCUGCUUUUAGAGAAUGACAAAGCACAGAAGAUUGCCAAGACCACACACAAGAAAGGAUUAACCUUAAAGGAAAUGGCAAUCGAACCUAGCUAUCUCAGAGUAGUUUGAUGAGUGGGUGAAACCCAAGGAUGUGGUGGGUCCAAAG